rnacentral:misc_RNA from 1 species
GAUGAAGAACGUAGCGAAAUGCGAUAAGUAAUGUGAAUUGCAGAAUUCAGUGAAUCAUCGAAUCUUUGAACGCACAUUGCGCCCGCCAGUAUUCUGGCGGGCAUGCCUGUUCGAGCGUCAUUUCAACCAUCAAGCCCCCGGCUUGUGUUGGGGACCUGCGGCUGCCGCAGGCCCUGAAAACCAGUGGCGGGCUCGCUAGUCACUCCGAGCGUAGUAAUACAUCUCGCUCAGGGCGUGCUGCGGGUUCCGGCCGUUAAAAGCCUUAUUUACCCAAGGUUGACCUCGGAUCAGGUAGGAAGACCCGCUGAACUUAAGCAUAUCAAUAAGCGAGGA